AUGCCCGGAGAGAAGAAGGCGAUGUACAGAGCGAGCCCUCCGACCGCGAACCACCCCAGCACGCCUUGGCAGGAACCGCUGAACAGGCUCCCGCAGAGGCUGGACGAUGACUGCAGUAUGAAGGCCGUGGCGAGGAUGACGAGGGAGAGCACGACCCCGGCUAGGCUUGUAAGGGCCAGGCGGCGGCGGCCACAACGGUCGAUGAGGUAG
rnacentral:rRNA from 1 species